rnacentral:misc_RNA from 1 species
GGCCACACCUAGUGCAAUAUUUACUCUUAGGUUCCAAUCCGGCCGAAUAGCUCCUUGGAACAACAGAUUUGCUAGGCAACCAUUGCUCAUAUAUUCAUAAACAAGAGCUCUUUUUGAGCCUUCAGCACAAUAUCCAAGCAAACGAAUCAAGUUUUUGUGUCGAGUUCUACCAAUGACCCUCAUUUCUGCUCUGAACUCCCUUUCACCUUCUUCCACUACCUUCUCUAGCCUCUUCACUGCCACAAGGUUUUUACCUUUGUCAAAGCUCCCUUUAUAAACUGCUCCAAAAGCACCCUUUCCUAAUUCCUCUUUGAAACCAUCUGUUGCCCGUUUUAGCUCCCUAUAAGAACAAGUUUUGAGUAUGAAAUCUUUUGUUAAGCCUGUGGUUCCUGUCUGUACUAGCUGCCUGAGCUUUAUUAUCCUGAAUUUGAAGACAUAAAAGCCUGAAAAUGCAAGAGAAGUACCUGAAUAUAGAAC